AAAAUAAUUAGGCCAUGAAAUAAAAGCAUAUUCUUUUGAAUAAGAUUUGCUUUGAUUUGGUAGUUAAUUUUUGCAUUUAAUAAGUCAGUGGCAGCCAUUGUAAAUAAGUUCUAAUUGCAGGAUUUAUUUCACAAAAUGGCUGCAAAAAUGUAUAUAUAGAUUUGCGGUCAAAAAAGUUAAACAUCAU
rnacentral:sRNA from 1 species